CCUACGGGAGGCAGCAGUGGGGAAUCUUGCACAAUGGAGGAAACUCUGAUGCAGCGAUGCCGCGUGAGUGAAGAAGGCCUUUGGGUUGUAAAGCUCUUUUGUAGGGGAAGAUAAUGACUGUACCCUAAGAAUAAGGUCCGGCUAACUUCGUGCCAGCAGCCGCGGUAAUACGAAGGGACCUAGCGUAGUUCGGAAUUACUGGGCGUAAAGCGCGCGUAGGCCGUUGAGUUAGUUAAUUGUGAAAUCCCAAAGCUUAACUUUGGAACUGCAAUUAAAACUGCUCGACUAGAGUUUGAUAGAGGAAAGCGGAAUACAUAGUGUAGAGGUGAAAUUCGUAGAUAUUAUGUAGAACACCAGUUGCGAAGGCGGCUUUCUGGAUCAACACUGACGCUGAGGCGCGAAAGUAUGGGUAGCAAAGAGGAUUAGAUACCCUCGUAGUCCAUACCAUAAACGAUGAUUGCUAGAUGUUGGAAAUUUAUUUUCAGUAUCGCAGCUAACGCAUUAAGCAAUCCGCCUGGGGAUACGACCGCAAGGUUAAACUUAAAGGAAUUGACGG
rnacentral:rRNA from 1 species